AUGACUAUAAUUUUAAGUACGGUUACCAAGAUUACACUGUUCAUAGAAUUAUUUUUAUACUCUGAAGAAGAUUCAUCAGUACAACAUGCUAAUGUUGAACAGGAGAAAGAUGAAUGCAAAUUCAAGGAAUCUAGCCCCAAAAGAAAGCGUACAAUAAGCAUUAUUGAAGACGGAGAUUCCGAAAAAGAUGGAACUGAGAAUUAUUCAAAGACUAGCAUAAGGCUUACUAGUGUUGAUAAGGGAUCUAAGAAGAAAGGAAUUCGGAAUGAUAACCAUGAGCAAGUGAACAAAUUAUCACUUUCAAAAACUAUAAAGCAAGAAUCAGAGGAUGAUGAACUCACUAUUGACCAGAGUAAAAGGAGUAGGAGACGGAGCACAGGUCGUGCUGCAAAUCUUGACGGUGAAUCAAAAGCUGAAGGUGCUCAGGAAAUAAACAAAUCCAAAUCCAUGGAAUCAAGCCCCAAGAGGAAGCGUGUUGUAACACGCCAAUGCGCCAGUGUAAUCAGGAGCACAAUGAUUCAAGGCCUAGGACAAGGCUUAGUUCUGUCGAUAAAAAAUCAC
rnacentral:rRNA from 1 species